rnacentral:rRNA from 1 species
GAUGAACGCUGGCGGCGUGCCUAAUACAUGCAAGUCGAGCGAACAGACGAGGAGCUUGCUCCUCUGACGUUAGCGGCGGACGGGUGAGUAACACGUGGAUAACCUACCUAUAAGACUGGGAUAACUACGGGAAACCGGAGCUAAUACCGGAUAAUAUAUUGAACCGCAUGGUUCAAUAGUUAAAGACGGUUUUGCUGUCACUUAUAGAUGGAUCAGCGCCGCAUUAGCUAGUUGGUAAGGUAACGGCUUACCAAGGCAACGAUGCGUAGCCGAUCUGAGAGGGUGAUCGGCCACACUGGAACUGAGACACGGUCCAGACUCCUACGGGAGGCAGCAGUAGGGAAUCUUCCGCAAUGGGCGAAAGCUUGACGGAGCAACGCCGCGUGAGUGAUGAAGGUCUUCGGAUCGUAAAACUCUGUUAUUAGGGAAGAACAGAUGUGUAAGUAACUAUGCACGUCUUGACGGUACCUAAUCAGAAAGCCACGGCUAACUACGUG